UCUUGGAUACGGUGCUACUUUAUUUGUAGCUUAGGAAUAGUAACUCUUACGGAGAACAAGGCUACUUGUAUAGCUCUCACGGUGCUACAUUGUAGCUUAAGGACACGACUCUUACGGAGAACAAGGCUUAUCAUUUAGCUCUUACGGUGCUACUUUGUAGCUUAAAGAAGUGGAUUCUUAAGGAUAAAUCUUAGCACUCAGCUGGAACGGGAACAAGCUCUCACGGUGGUCUCAGGACUUUCACAAAGAAAUAAAGAAACCAUCAGUACGCUACAACUGUCCGGCUGGAGUUUGCUACAGUAAGAGCUUGACCCUCAUCGAUCCUGACGACUGUCUGCUGUUCUACGGUGCUGUGACGGCUUGGUGUCCACAAGGAAAGGUCUACACGGUGUGUCUGCCUGCCAUGACUCUAACUGACGGUUCUUCGUGGAGCAGAGCACUUUCGGAGGACUCACGUCUAAUCAGCUAUUCAGAAAACAGUUAGUGGGAUUCGAUGCAACAGUCAAGACCUUUUACAUCUUUACGGCACUGAACUUAUUAGAUGGUGUAAAGGAGUUGGAAGAACAGAUGGCUUGUGUCCAACAUGGAACAGAGGACUUGCAGAAAAUACCUCAUCCAGACGCAGAAACAUCUGAAAGACUACUAUGGAGGCAAGUAAUGCAAACAAAACAAAGUCUGAAUGAUCACCAGGUACAACUUCAGAGAGAUGAUGAGCCACCAGAGGGUCUUCGCCGCUCUGAACGUACACGGAAUCCCACAGAAAAGAUGAUUGCACUUCAAAAUGAAGCCAAGGGCCAAGAAAAGGACAAAAAGACUACUCGGCUAUGUAUGAAAAAUGGAAGAUUCAAGUACGCACAUCUAGACAUCAACUGAAGUCAUUCAUCCCAGAAAAUCAGCUGGGGCCACUCAUGGAUGAACUCAAUAAAGGUAGGGAAGACAUAAUGCAAGCAUACUCUGACAUACGAGAGCUCAUAACACCAUCUACUGAAUUAAGAAGACGAGUUGCUCAGGUUUUCCAAGACAGUCUAGCGCUGAACAGGCUUCCAGUUCCAGAACCAUUCAUUUUCAGUGGUGAUCCUAUGCAAUUAAUUGAAUGGAAGGCAGCAUUUAUUUCACUAAUUGACCAAAGAUCCAUCGCUCCAGCUGAAAAACUGUAUUAUCUGAAGAUAUAUGUCAGUGGUUCAGCACGCCAGGUUCUAGAGGGCACCUUUUAUCGAAAUGACAAUGAAGCCUACCAAGACGCGUGGAGCAAAUUGAAUCAGCGUUACGGCCAGCCAAACUGACUGCUAUGAGUGGAAUAGAUACAGUUAUCACAAGCAAGAGAAUUUCAGAAUAACAUUUCUGUAAAUCGUAGUCACUGUCCUACUUGUGAGACAGCCAAACAAUGGACUCAUCUUUCAGAAGUAGUUAAUGAAAUUCCACCCUUGAUGAAUUGUGAAGUAGGCCUCUUAAUAGGAUAUAACUGUUCCAGAGCGAUGGCACCAAAACGAGUCAUUCUCGGCGGAAAUGAAGAGCCUUAUGCUGUGAAGACAGACUUGGGAUGGAGCAUUAUAGGGCGGUCAUCACAAGGCCCUGAUUCACCGAUUUGACAGUAGGCCUAUCAAAAUAUGUUACCUGUCCUGCUGAAGUCCACCUGUUCACUGGAGUGGUGGGGUAGGCUUUAGCUCUACUCUAUAGAGAUAGAGAGCGAAGAUACACAGGCAGGCCUGUGGAGUAAUACACCCACACCCAGACAAUGUUGCAUGUUUCAAAGAUAUGCAAAGUGUAUUAGAAGAAUUACAUACAUAACAGAAUUGCCUCAUCAGUGUGUCAGUAAAGCUCAGUACAUUCAUAGACUCCAAUAAAACAGUGCCCUGUAGAGUCACAAAAUUCGACAGGUCACAGAAUUUGGUGCAACACCGGCUUUAUAUGUAUGUAAAAUGUGAUUGGUAAUUCCUGAAAAUCUGUUUGCUACACAUUUGCCACACAUAGGUUCACCCAGGCUGAAGUUCGUAACGUUUUCCCAACAGCUCAACUAAUAAACAUA